GAUGAACGUUGGCGGCGUGCCUAAUACAUGCAAGUCGAGCGAACAGACGAGGAGCUUGCUCCUCUGACGUUAGCGGCGGACGGGUGAGUAACACGUGGAUAACCUACCUAUAAGACUGGGAUAACUUCGGGAAACCGGAGCUAAUACCGGAUAAUAUAUUGAACCGCAUGGUUCAAUAGUGAAAGACGGUUUUGCUGUCACUUAUAGAUGGAUCCGCGCCGCAUUAGCUAGUUGGUAAGGUAACGGCUUACCAAGGCAACGAUGCGUAGCCGACCUGAGAGGGUGAUCGGCCACACUGGAACUGAGACACGGUCCAGACUCCUACGGGAGGCAGCAGUAGGGAAUCUUCCGCAAUGGGCGAAAGCUUGACGGAGCAACGCCGCGUGAGUGAUGAAGGUCUUCGGAUCGUAAAACUCUGUUAUUAGGGAAGAACAAAUGUGUAAGUAACUAUGCACGUCUUGACGGUACCUAAUCAGAAAGCCACGGCUAACUACGUG
rnacentral:rRNA from 1 species